AGCGUACACGGUGGAUGCCCUGGCAGUCAGAGGCGAUGAAGGACGUGCUAAUCUGCGAAAAGCGUCGGUAAGGUGAUAUGAACCGUUAUAGCCGGCGAUGUCCGAAUGGGGAAACCCAGUGCAAUUCGUUGCACUAUCGUUAACUGAAUACAUAGGUUAACGAGGCGAACCGGGGGAACUGAAACAUCUAAGUACCCCGAGGAAAAGAAAUCAACCGAGAUUCCCCCAGUAGCGGCGAGCGAACGGGGAGCAGCCCGGAGUCUGAAUCAGCUUGUGUGUUAGUGGAAGCGUCUGGAAAGUCGCAGGGUACAGGGUGAUACUCCCGUACACUAAAACACACAGGCUGUGAACUCGAAGAGUAGGGCGGGACACGUGGUAUCCUGUCUGAAUAUGGGGGGACCAUCCUCCAAGGCUAAAUACUCCUGACUGACCGAUAGUGAACCAGUACCGUGAGGGAAAGGCGAAAAGAACCCCGGCGAGGGGAGUGAAAAAGAACCUGAAACCGUGUACGUACAAGCAGUAGGAGCCCACUAGUUGGGUGACUGCGUACCUUUUGUAUAAUGGGUCAGCGACUUAUAUUCUGUAGCAAGGUUAACCGAAUAGGGGAGCCGCAGGGAAACCGAGUCUUAACUGGGCGUUAAGUUGCAGGGUAUAGACCCGAAACCCGGUGAUCUAGCCAUGGGCAGGUUGAAGGUUGGGUAACACUAACUGGAGGACCGAACCGACUAAUGUUGAAAAAUUAGCGGAUGACUUGUGGCUGGGGGUGAAAGGCCAAUCAAACCGGGAGAUAGCUGGUUCUCCCCGAAAGCUAUUUAGGUAGCGCCUCGUGAACUCAUCUUCGGGGGUAGAGCACUGUUUCGGCUAGGGGGUCAUCCCGACUUACCAACCCGAUGCAAACUACGAAUACCGAAGAAUGUUAUCACGGGAGACACACGGCGGGUGCUAACGUCCGUCGUGAAGAGGGAAACAACCCAGACCGCCAGCUAAGGUCCCAAAGUCAUGGUUAAGUGGGAAACGAUGUGGGAAGGCCCAGACAGCCAGGAUGUUGGCUUAGAAGCAGCCAUCAUUUAAAGAAAGCGUAAUAGCUCACUGGUCGAGUCGGCCUGCGCGGAAGAUGUAACGGGGCUAAACCAUGCACCGAAGCUGCGGCAGCGACGCUUAUGCGUUGUUGGGUAGGGGAGCGUUCUGUAAGCCGUUGAAGGUGGCCUGUGAGGGUUGCUGGAGGUAUCAGAAGUGCGAAUGCUGACAUAAGUAACGAUAAUGCGGGUGAAAAACCCGCACGCCGGAAGACCAAGGGUUCCUGUCCAACGUUAAUCGGGGCAGGGUGAGUCGACCCCUAAGGCGAGGCCGAAAGGCGUAGUCGAUGGGAAACAGGUUAAUAUUCCUGUACUUGGUGUUACUGCGAAGGGGGGACGGAGAAGGCUAUGUUGGCCGGGCGACGGUUGUCCCGGUUUAAGCAUGUAGGCGGAUGUUCCAGGUAAAUCCGGAACGUUAUUAACGCUGAGGUGUGAUGACGAGGCACUACGGUGCUGAAGUGACAAAUGCCCUGCUUCCAGGAAAAGCCUCUAAGCAUCAGGUAACAUCAAAUCGUACCCCAAACCGACACAGGUGGUCAGGUAGAGAAUACCAAGGCGCUUGAGAGAACUCGGGUGAAGGAACUAGGCAAAAUGGUGCCGUAACUUCGGGAGAAGGCACGCUGAUGGUANGUGAAGUGACUUGCUCAUGGAGCUGAAAUCAGUCGAAGAUACCAGCUGGCUGCAACUGUUUAUUAAAAACACAGCACUGUGCAAACACGAAAGUGGACGUAUACGGUGUGACGCCUGCCCGGUGCCGGAAGGUUAAUUGAUGGGGUUAUCCUCGCGGAGAAGCUCUUGAUCGAAGCCCCGGUAAACGGCGGCCGUAACUAUAACGGUCCUAAGGUAGCGAAAUUCCUUGUCGGGUAAGUUCCGACCUGCACGAAUGGCGUAAUGAUGGCCAGGCUGUCUCCACCCGAGACUCAGUGAAAUUGAACUCGCUGUGAAGAUGCAGUGUACCCGCGGCAAGACGGAAAGACCCCGUGAACCUUUACUAUAGCUUGACACUGAACACUGGUCCUUGAUGUGUAGGAUAGGUGGGAGGCUUUGAAGUGUGGACGCCAGUCUGCAUGGAGCCGUCCUUGAAAUACCACCCUUUAAUGGCUGGUGUUCUAACGUGGGCCCGUGAUCCGGGUUGCGGACAGUGUCUGGUGGGUAGUUUGACUGGGGCGGUCUCCUCCUAAAGAGUAACGGAGGAGCACGAAGGUCAGCUAAUCCUGGUCGGACAUCAGGAGGUUAGUGCAAUGGCAUAAGCUGGCUUGACUGCGAGCGUGACGGCGCGAGCAGGUGCGAAAGCAGGUCAUAGUGAUCCGGUGGUUCUGAAUGGAAGGGCCAUCGCUCAACGGAUAAAAGGUACUCCGGGGAUAACAGGCUGAUACCGCCCAAGAGUUCAUAUCGACGGCGGUGUUUGGCACCUCGAUGUCGGCUCAUCACAUCCUGGGGCUGAAGUAGGUCCCAAGGGUAUGGCUGUUCGCCAUUUAAAGUGGUACGCGAGCUGGGUUUAGAACGUCGUGAGACAGUUCGGUCCCUAUCUGCCGUGGGCGCUGGAGAAUUGAGGGGGGCUGCUCCUAGUACGAGAGGACCGGAGUGGACGCAUCACUGGUGUUCGGGUUGUCAUGCCAAUGGCAUUGCCCGGUAGCUAAAUGCGGAAGAGAUAAGUGCUGAAAGCAUCUAAGCACGAAACUUGCCCCGAGAUGAGUUCU
rnacentral:rRNA from 1 species